GCAACAGCAGCCACCACAAGGACUGCUCCACCUUCUCUGUUUUCAAGCCAAACUCCCCCCUUCCAACUUCGAUUUGGACGAAGAGAAGCAAAGAUGUCGACGGCGCGCCUCUUUUGGUGAAGGAGAACGUGAAUGAGGUGUGUCGUGCAAGCACAACGUGGGCAAUAGAACGGUUGCUAGUUGCUGCGGCUCCAAUCUGCUGUUAGCCACUGCUUAGGGGUAGGCUGGGAUUUGGGUUAGUGACUUGAGCUUGUAAUGUGUUUGGGCUUUAGGCUUAGUUGGGCCCGGGUCAAAAAUUAGGUAUUACAAUAUAAAGUAAAUAAUAAGGGUCACAGAGGGUUUAGAAAGACUUUUUAACUCUCACCCUAUAUAAGUUAUAACUUCUAAUUUAUUUCUUAAGAAAUUAUUAAAAUUAUUAAUAAAAUAAUAAUGUGUAUUUUCGAGUCUUUAGUGAUGCAAUUAUUUAAAUAAUAUUUUACAUUAAUCCUA